CCGUGUUAAAAUUUCAAGAAAUCAUGUUCUAUGUUCCUUUUAACCUUUCUACAUCAGCAAUCACUGUUAUUUGUCUUAACUGUGAAAAUGAUGAACAUAUUAUGAACAAUAUUCUUUUGGGAAAACUGAAGAAAAUCUCAAGUGAUUAUUAUACAACAAUAGUAAUAAAGAAAUCAAAAAUAGCAAAUACCAAAAGAGCACAGAAGUAACAUGUUUUAUAAAUGCCUUGUCUUAGUCUACAGCCCAGUAUCUGUGAUCCAUUUUGUGUAUAUAUUGUUUAAAAAAUGUUGUCUCUAUGUUUAUAUACGUUAAAUAAAUUAGACCGUCCAAUUAUUUAUAUUUAGAAUCUAUAAUAUUUAUCUUUAAAUUUGCUUCGUUUUGUUAUCUCCAAGGUGAGAGACAACACUGGUUUUUAUUUUGUCACAAACUAUGAAAAACAACGUUUAGAAGAAGCAUGUGUUAUGAUUUAACAUUUUUAUAUUUAUAUUUUAAAUGUUGGUAUACAAUAUGCUCAAACUGAAAUUACCAAAUAAAGUAUAAAGUUUG
rnacentral:lncRNA from 1 species